rnacentral:rRNA from 1 species
AUAUCAAUAAGCGGAGGAAAAGAAACCAACAGGGAUUGCCCCAGUAACGGCGAGUGAAGCGGCAACAGCUCAAAUUUGAAAUCUGGUCCCUAGGGCCCGAGUUGUAAUUUGUAGAGGAUGCUUUUGGUGAGGUGCCGCCCGAGUUCCCUGGAACGGGACGCCACAGAGGGUGAGAGCCCCGUCUGGCUGGCCGCCGAGCCUCUGUAAAGCUCCUUCGACGAGUCGAGUAGUUUGGGAAUGCUGCUCAAAAUGGGAGGUAUAUGUCUUCUAAAGCUAAAUAUUGGCCAGAGACCGAUAGCGCACAAGUAGAGUGAUCGAAAGAUGAAAAGCACCUUGAAAAGAGGGUUAAAUAGUACGUGAAAUUGUUGAAAGGGAAGCGCUUGUGACCAGACUUGGGCGCGGCGGAUCAUCCGGGGUUCUCUCCGGUGCACUUCGCCGCGUCUAGGCCAGCAUCAGUUCGUCGCGGGGGAAAAAGGCUUCGGGAACGUGGCUCCUCCGGGAGUGUUAUAGCCCGUUGCAUAAUACCCUGCGGUGGACUGAGGACCGCGCAUCUGCAAGGAUGCUGGCGUAAUGGUCACCAGCGACCCGUCUUGAAACACGGACCAAGGAGUCGUCUUCGUAUGCGAGUGUUCGGGUGUCAAACCCCUACGCGUAAUGAAAGUGAACGCAGGUGAGAGCUUCGGCGCAUCAUCGACCGAUCCUGAUGUUCUCGGAUGGAUUUGAGUAAGAGCAUACGGGGCCGGACCCGAAAGAAGGUGAACUAUGCCUGUAUAGGGUGAAGCCAGAGGAAACUCUGGUGGAGGCUCGCAGCGGUUCUGACGUGCAAAUCGAUCGUCAAAUAUGGGCAUGGGGGCGAAAGACUAAUCGAACCUUCUAGUAGCUGGUUUCCGC